rnacentral:tRNA from 1 species
GGUGGCUCAGUGCUAGAGCGCUUGCCUUACAUCCAUGAGGCCCUGGGUUCGAUUCCUCAGCACCA